AGAACCAAGAUUUCUUCCAUUCUUCUGCUCUAUCAUUCUCAGCACAACAUGCUUUUCUCAUUAAGGCCGCUGUGGUUCGUCUUCUGCCUGGGAACUGGAUAAAAACAUCAGUGAAUACCCCAAAGAUUUUCAAAAAUGCUUGUUGAUAAAAUGAAGUCAGAAUGUGAGAUGAGCCCUUCCACCUGAGUGAUGUUGGUCUUGGCUGUGUGAUUUGCUUUGGCUGAUGAUAAGUUGAUGGAAGUGAUAGUAAGACAAUGCUGAGCCUCAUCCUCGGAAGUAUCUCUGCCUUCACCUGGCUUUGUGCACCACUGCCCUGGCUUUGAGAAGAACAUGAGCCCAGUAAAUUGUUAGUCCAGGAAGAAUGAGAGGCUGUAGAAGAUGGCAAGUGCUGUGGACUUCAAAGAAAAGAUUUCUGAAGUGUCAUGUUAUGACAAUUGUGG
rnacentral:lncRNA from 10 species